UUCAUGGAGAGUUUGAUCCUGGCUCAGGACGAACGCUGGCGGCGUGCCUAAUACAUGCAAGUCGAGCGGGCUGAUUAAGAGCUUGCUCUUAUGACGUUAGCGGCGGACGGGUGAGUAACACGUGGGCAACCUGCCUUGUAGAUCGGGAUAACACCGAGAAAUCGGUGCUAAUACCGGGUAACAUCUGAGAUCUCAUGAUCUUAGGUUAAAAGAUGGCUCCGGCUAUCACUACAGGAUGGGCCCGCGGCGCAUUAGCUAGUUGG
rnacentral:rRNA from 1 species